rnacentral:rRNA from 1 species
CCCCAGCGCCACAAGUGGUUAUCACGAUUAUUGGGCCUAAAGCGUUCGUAGCCGGUUUGGUAAAUCUCUUGUGAAAUUGUUCGGCUUAACCGAACAGCGUGCAGGAGACACUGCCAAGCUCGAGACCGGGAGGCGUGUGAAGUAUGUCGUGGGGACUGGUAAAAUGGGAUAAUCCACGAUAGAAUACCGAUGGCGAAGGCAGCACACGAGAACGGAUCUGACGGUGAGGAACGAAAGCCAGGGGAGCGAACCGG